UACGAAGGGGGCUAGCGUUGUUCGGAAUUACUGGGCGUAAAGCGUGCGCAGACGGCUUCUCAAGUCAGGGGUGAAAGCCCAGAGCUCAACUCUGGAAUUGCCUUUGAGACUGAGUGGCUUGAGUACGAGAGAGGUGAGUGGAAUUCCCAGUGUAGAGGUGAAAUUCGUAGAUAUUGGGAAGAACACCGGUGGCGAGGCGGCUCACUGGUCCGGUACUGACGCUGAGGUGCGAAAGCGUGGGGAGCAAACAGG
rnacentral:rRNA from 1 species